CAAUAGCGUAUAUUAAAGUUGUUGCGGUUAAAAAGCUCGUAGUUGGAUUUCGGCGGACAGGGGGCGGUUCGAUAUUUGUCGCUACUGCCCCAUUUGUCCGUGUUUUUGGCGGAGGUUUCAGGGUGCUCUUCACCGAGUGUCCUGGGAUGGCGUCAGGUUUACUUUGAAAAAAUUAGAGUGCUCAAAGCAGGCUUUACACGCUUGAAUAUUCGUGCAUGGAAUAAUGGAAUAGGACGUCGUUUCUAUUUUGUUGGUUUUCGGAAAUCGACGUAAUGAUUAACAGGGACAGUCGGGGGCAUUAGUAUUCAGACGACAGAGGUGAAAUUCUUGGACCGUCUGAAGACUAACUACUGCGAAAGCAUUUGCCAAGAAUGUUUUCAUUAA
rnacentral:rRNA from 1 species